AAUUUUUAUUGCUUGUUAAAACAAAGCAACCUUAAUGAGAUUAAUAAAAUUAUUUUCUUAUUUAACUUUUACUUAUUAAAAGUAAAGACUGGAAUUUCCCUGCUUUCCCUACUGAAUGCUAAGCAAACCAUCUGCUCCUCUCUGGCCUACCUGGCUGGCAUUUUUCACCCUGCCAUGGGACCAAGCGCUACUCCAGGGCAGGGUUGCAUGUCUGGCAAGAGCUGUCAAAGCAGAGCACCAGAUAAAACAGCGGGGAUGUAAAGGAAGAUCUGGAUAUCAGCACGUGGUAUCACUUCCUUUUAGGAAGCUGACCGUCAAAAGCAGAAGUGUCACUUGCAAUUAGGAAAAACUCUCCUGCACACCUCAAAAUUUAUUAGUGGUAUGAAGGUCUGUCUGCUAAACUCUGCACUGAACAAAACAACUGCAGUUUUUCCUCUAGAAAAAUCAUUUGCAUCACCACAGCAAAUGUACCUCUAAUCAAAAGUGACUUUUAUUUAGAUUCCACCUUUACAAUCCUUAAAAUGUCAUACUUCUGAGAUGCCAGCAAGGAACGCUUCACAUAUUCUCAUCUAGGAAAUGCAAUUUUUCCCCAGAAGUUUAUUGAAUAAACUGUUUAUUUUGAAAUAUACUUUGACA
rnacentral:lncRNA from 1 species